CUUAUUUUUGUAUGUAAUUAACAAAGGUUCGUUUAAAAAAAAUACUGAUCUGGAAAAUUCGAACAAUGUUUUCAUUUUCUGAAGCAAAAUUAAUUGGUAUUCGACGCGUAGCAAUCGAGUAACCAAAAAUAUUGAAAUUCGAAUGUGUUCGAAUGUGAUACGAGUAUCUAUCCGUUAAUGAAAUCUAUGCAUACAUAUAACAUAUAAAUUUAUACUCGGUCAAAUUUCGAAUAUGGUAUAUUGGAAAAAGUCGAUCAUGAUCGAGAAAGAAAAAAUCAAUAUUUGUCAACAUUUUCUUGAUUGUAUCAUAACCAUACAUUUCCUCCAAAUACUCAUCGAACACUUGACAAUAUGUUUCAAGAUGAAUGUACAUUUUUAUUAUAAUAUAAUAUUGAUGCUAAUUAACCGUUUGUAUCAAAGGUAUAUAGUUUAUCACAUCAAUGUUACAAAUAUCUCCAUUUUUCGAUUGAUUCUGGAAAGAAAAAGUACUUGAACAUUGUAUUAUACGAAACCGUUUAUUCAAGACUAUCGUAGUUAAGUGAAACAAUACAGGAAAAAAGGCAAGAGAAAAAGUGUCAUCUAUUAGUAAAGUGAAACAAUAGGCGGACUAAUUAAUAGGAAAGUCCUUAGAACCGUUGAUUGGCGGUCCAAUACGAGGAUGCAUUCUUAACGUAGAAAAAGGAAUCAUUGCAAAAAAAGUAUCCACCCAUUUAAUGUAUAUUUACAUAAUUGGGAUAAUUUAAAAAUGUAAUUAAUAAUAUACAUGAUGAAAAGAUGACCAGGACGAAAAUACGACGAGUGAUCGCGGAAAAUAUGAAACGCGCGAAAGUAGGAUUAGCAAGUGAUAGAGGAGGCAACCGUCACGACGAGCUUGCAGAAAGUAUAGGAGGACGUGGAAGCUGGUUCGAGGAGGGGUAGGAUUUGGGGUAGCAUUGCUAGUACGGUGGCACAGAUAUGGGCCAGGUAACCAGGUCACCGCGACUAAGGGCAUUGCUUUUGCAACCGCCAACCACCACCGCCACCACCGUCACCCCAUUUGAGCUGUUCUAACCUUCCCCACUCCUUCCUCUUUUCUCCUUUCCUUUUUCCUCGUUUCGCCCUCUCUCUUCCUUCCUUCUUCCAUCCGCUACUCGAUACACGACGAAACGACAAACGACACGGAACAUUAAGAACAACGCAGUUCCACCUCUCUGGAUCUCCAAUAGGCAUCUACCACUUUGUUCCUCGGUGUUCUGUCACUCGUUGCACCUCUCUUUUCAAUUCCCGUGCUCUUAUUUCUUUUCAUUCUCUCUCGUAUCUUUUCUCCCGGUCUUCCCGUUCCUCCGGAGAGAAAGACUCUUUCUUUAAUUCCACCGAGUGAUUCGAGAGAUUCGGAAGAGUUUCAAACAGUUAUAUUAUACAAUGGUUUUUCAAUAGAAUUUAUCGUAGCAAUUGUUUUCUUUG